AGAUCAAACGGAUCCAGAUCAGUUCUGUAAAAUAGAGUUUGGGCCAUUGCUUCCCAAUGGCAGACAGGACUCACAGUUUGUGACACAAAUUGGAGAUGACAGACCACACAGAAGCUGAACUCCAGACUAAAAGUCCUGAGAUUGAAGAAAAUCCCAUUGUCCAGGUCCCUGUGAUGAAAGCAACACAUUUCUGCCCACAAGAAAACUUCAGCACAUAUCACUGUCUGCAAGCAACGUGUCGCAUCUGAACAAUCAGAGACUGUGGCGAUCUCCUCCACCCUCCUAUGUGGAAGUUUGCCUUGUGCCUAAACUGAAUUGACGAAUGCAUUGUAACAGCAAUUAUGUACUUUUUUAUUUGUAUUAUUUUUUUCUAUUUAUUAUGUUACUGUGCUGUAAAAUCUAUGUCUAAAGGGAAAAUGAUGAGAUUGCUUUGAGAAGCCUGUGGCUUUUCAGGUGAUCUACAGUUUGCCAGUGUCACUAAUAUAGCCCAGCCUUCCUUCAUAACCAGUCUCAGGCUACCCUGAGUUAAGGCAAAGAUACCUUUGAAAUAUACAGAUGAAUAUAUUUGCCAAUUAAGAGUAAUCUUUAUGGCCCAACAGCAAAUGAUUUGGUUGUAUUGAGUGCUCAAAGACUCAUUUAAAAAAUAUAUAUUAUUUAUAGUAUGAUAUUUUAUUCAUUCCGCAAAAAGCAUGUGUAAACCAAAACAACCCACUCAGAGGUCUGUUUGGUAUAGCCUCCAUGUUACUGACAGAAUUAGAUGAAUAGGACUAAAGCUGAGUGGUGUGUAUGAGCUCUACAGUGAAACAGUAGUAUUCUUUACAGACUGUACUAGCCUGAACACUAUAAACUGAUUCACAGGUGACAGAAGAAUGGCGAACUUUACUUUUCCUGAAAUGUCAACUGCGGGCAAUAUAAGGUUUAUUCUCAGUAGUGUGCAGUUUGAGUACCGAGAGCAAACCCUUUACCAACCUUAGCAUUCCCGACAUAUUUCUUAGUGUCUUAAGGAAAAGGGACUUCACUGCCUUUUCAUUCCUUUGCCAUAUAGUGUUAAUGUAAACAAGUACAGUACAUAGUUCCAGUUUGUUUUCUUACCAUAUGGUCCCUGAUUAGUCGAAGAACCGUGAUCAAGCUCUUUGUGAUUGCCUAGUGCUGUCUUUGAGAUCACUUGAUGAAAAGGUGGAAUCAAAUUGACGACCACAACUCAACUGGCCGGAAUUUUCUUUCUGUUGAAAUAACUAAAGAAAACAAAAUUUGCAAUUCAUUUUAAUGUAAUCAAAGUUUAUUUGUAGUUUUCUACAAACCGUUUCUCUAGGCUUUAUAGGAGAGCAAAUGAUGAGCAGAGAGGAGUUUCUAGUUAAAUAGAAAGGCUUUGUUUUGAUCCCAGCAGUGAAGUUGCUGGUUACAGUAAGCCCUGGUGAAGGGGAACUAGACUAGAUGCUUUAUGAAUUCACAUGCUGUUAACCAUCAGAAACAGUUAGUCCUUCAGAGAGGUAUAGUACAACGAUGAACAAACAGUUUUGAGCAGAAUUUUCUUAAUGUUUUCCUUUCUGUUUGAGGAUGAAGAACAGUGGUCACCACGUUUAUUUUAUAUCUGUGUGCAUGCUUUACUUUCCUUCCCUUUUAAGUCUUUUGGUCUUAACUCUUGCUUUAUAUUCCAUUUUCCUUGUAUAGGCUACUGUCUUCCGUUAUUAUCCAUCCUUUAAAACAUUGCUAUCACACCCAGAGACAAGUAUUUUGUUGAAAUAAAGUAGGCCCUAAUAGAACAAAGAAAGCUAUUGAAAACCAUCCCAAUGAGUUUAAGAAAAAUACAUUUGGUUUUACUACCAUUUUCUUUUGGUCAAAACUUGGAAACAUUGUUAUUUUUCUCUGACUGUAUGUGGCCUUUAUUCAUUUCAGUAUUCAUGAGCUUGUAUUCAUGUUACUGGCAGACUUUGAUUGAGGUUAUAAUGUAUGUCACUGCCUGCUCUCUCAUUUCCCCCCAUUUUGUUCUUUUGCUGGCGGUCUCUUUGCUCUUCUGUUGGCUAUGUUAGACUUUGCUGUGUUCUCAGACGCUUUCCCUCGUAUGAUAUAUGAAAAAUGCUGAGAAAAAAAAUGGAAAGAAAAAAAACAUUUGGCUUAUUUUUCACUGUAGUUAGUCUUUUAUACAAUAAUAUUAAUAUUCUAAGAACAUUUCUUGAAUUAUAAAUAUUACUCUUUCUAGAUUUUUGAAAUCGAAAGUUUUGAGUAAAAAGUUUCUUACUUUAUUUUACUAUAUUAGAUAGUAAAAAUGUACGGUUAUUUACCAUAACCUGUCCAUUAUUAUCUGAAACGUACAAAUAGCAUCCUAAAAACAUAGUAGGGUUGUAGCUCGCAGUCUAGUACAUUGAGGUAUUGUACGAGCAGACAUCUUGAUCUUUAGGCUCCAUUGUUGGUGAAUAAAAUAUUUGUACUUGUGUCCAAAAAUUCAAGGUAUUGUUAAUGCACAUCAAAAACCAGCAGCAAGAAAUUUUACUUUCUGUUUCUGUAACAGAAAACAAUAUGUAUAUAACAUUUAUGUAGCAAUAAAUGUGCCAUCUUUUUUAACCAAUUGUAUGUGGAUUUAUUUCCUUCUUUUGAAGUUCUUUUUUCUGUUUCUCCAUCUUUUGUUUUUCAGUUAUUUCCAUGCAAUUUUGUGAUUGUUUUAAGAGAUGCAUUUGGUUGAGCUCAGUACAAGUACAGUACCAUGAUGUUUUCACUUAAGUGAGCUACUGAAGCAGCAACCCUUCCUAGGUUGUCCCCCUCAGAAGACCUUUCUACAGUGGAUCUAGGCCAAAUGAGGAACUCUGGGCAAGACUGUGUUUUAUAGUAUGUUACUCAUUUUUUUAAAACAAUAUCAGUGGACCAUUGUAGUCUGUAUGAAAAGUACUAUGGAAUAUAUGUUUCUAUUUUUAAUAAAGUGUGAUAGCUGC
ensembl:lncRNA